GUAGUUUCAAGAGUAUGUAAAAAUGAAAAAAGAAGACAUGUAUUUACUGUGAAACAUUUACAAAACAGGAAAGGUAAAUAAGCAAUUUGAGUAGUCUCAAGAUUACGGAAAAAAGAAAUAUGUAUUCAAUAAAACAGGAAAGGUAAAUAAGUAAAUCGUCACAAGGUUCCUCUCAUGUGGAAAUCCCCAAUUCUUCGAGACGGUAACAUAGUUUACUUUUUGUGUUCGGUCUGUUAAAUCACUAACAUACCAUAUUCUCACUUGCUGAAGAAGCAAAGAAAUACUUAUUAACCCCUUAAGGACGGAGGCAGUUGUAAAAGUUCUGAUCAAAACAAAAUGUAAACAAACCUGGAAUUUGAGCUAUUUGUCUGAACAACCAUAAUUUAGCUCUAUACCCACAUGUAUUCUAUAUAAUUUUGUUCAGGAGAAAAGGAGCUUUCAUUUCACAUCAAAC